UACGAAGGGGGCUAGCGUUGUUCGGAAUUACUGGGCGUAAAGGGCGCGUAGGCGGCCUGCUAAGUCGAACGUGAAAUCCCCGGGCUCAACCCGGGAACUGCGUCCGAUACUGACAGGCUCGAAUCCGGGAGAGGGAUGUGGAAUUCCAGGUGUAGCGGUGAAAUGCGUAGAUAUCUGGAGGAACACCGGUGGCGAAGGCGGCAUCCUGGACCGGCAUUGACGCUGAGGCGCGAAAGCCAGGGGAGCAAAGCGGG
rnacentral:rRNA from 1 species